rnacentral:rRNA from 1 species
GAUGAACGCUGGCGGCGUGCCUAAUACAUGCAAGUCGAGCGAACAGACGAGGAGCUUGCUCCUCUGACGUUAGCGGCGGACGGGUGAGUAACACGUGGAUAACCUACCUAUAAGACUGGGAUAACUUCGGGAAACCGGAGCUAAUACCGGAUAAUAUAUUGAACCGCAUGGUUCAAUAGUGAAAGACGGUUUUGCUGUCACUUAUAGAUGGAUCCGCGCCGCAUUAGCUAGUUGGUAAGGUAACGGCUUACCAAGGCAACGAUGCGUAGCCGACCUGAGAGGGUGAUCGGCCACACUGGAACUGAGACACGGUCCAGACUCCUACGGGAGGCAGCAGUAGGGAAUAUUCCGCAAUGGGCGAAAGCCUGACGGAGCAACGCCGCGUGAGUGAUGAAGGUCUUCGGAUCGUAAAACUCUGUUAUUAGGGAAGAACAAAUGUGUAAGUAACUAUGCACGUCUUGACGGUACCUACUCAGAAAGCAACGGCUAACUACGUG